GUUUCACUGGUAGUAGUUUGUUGCUCCUCUCUUUCAGCUUGAUUGCCCUCAUCAGGACCCUUAACUGCUGAACUUGAGCUCGAACGUUUUGAGCUCAUUCUCCUCGUAGCUUUGGCACAAAGAACGCACUAGUGCAAAUAUGUGAGCGACACAGCCAUAAAUGGGAUCUUGAAUCCUAGCUUGAGCCUCAUAGGAGAUGGUAAGCGCAGCUUCCGACCUGUCUGAGACCGGGAGGUGCAUGAGGAGCUUUGAGGCAUUGCUCGCUCCGAAGACCUUGUGAAUAGCUGCAAAAUGAGCAGCACUCUGUUCAUGGCAGAAGUAUGGGGCAAAGACACACCCUCUCAUGCAUUUCCUCCUCAAAAAUUUGCAUGCGCCGCAAGGAGAGCCAAAGCCUGUCAUCCUUGAGUUCAGAAGCCUUCGAUGUCUUAGCCUAUAUUCCGUUCAAUGAGGACAAAGAAGCUCACAGCGACUCAACCUGAUUACAGUUCUCUUCGGAAUUCUUCCUUCUGCAAAAGUUAAAAUCAUUACCUCAGCGGCCCCUCCAGGGUACCCCUAUUGUAUAGAAGGGAGAUAAAUCACGAAGAAUUUUGUCCAACAAUAACAGCGCAUGUAAGCUCAGUGACAGAGGAGCGUUAGGGUUCAUGAACCAUUUCCUUGGUGAAAGGACAGAUACCAAACUUCGAAAGGAGCAUGCAAUGCAAUGCAAUCCCAUCAAAAGUGUUGAAUUGAUUGGCCUGCAGAGUUCACCAAUGCCUGCAGCUUUUCCAAGUCCCAAAGCUUACAUAAUGGUCGUUGAUGGCAUCAGUCUUCAGCAUUUGAGGUGGGCUGGCACUUUGUUGUGGUCCAUCCGUCCAUGUAUAAUAGGAGACAGACGAACCCUACAAAUAGAUCAAAGAUUUGCAAUUAGAAGAAAGAUCAACAAUUGAUUGCACACGAGCCAAGAUGGUAUAUCUGAUCUGGUCGGAGAUCCAGGGAUGAGUUAACUCCUUGAUGUAUCUGCGGUCCAACUCUUUUGGUAGGUCGGAUGCGCAUCAAGUCGGCUUUUGUCGGAUGUCAAGCCGAGCAACACAAGGACUCCGGUGAAGAUCUAUCAUGAUGACAACGGAAAGGGUUGAAAAAGGAGUUAGAAGGGAGGUCAAGUGUAUCUUGGCGAGAUCCCUCCGACACUCCAGCUAAAAUCUGAAAGAGAUGACGAUAACAAAAUGAAAGUUGUAAAUAUUUUUCUCACAAAUAUGUCUCUUUCAGCGCUACCUCCCUUACCUUGGGUUGCCACAUGAGGUUUUCGGAUCGAAAUUCGGCGUGUCCGAGCAUGCUUUCCCUAUGCCUUGGUCACCUGCACUAAU